UACGUAGGGUGCAAGCGUUGUCCGGAAUUAUUGGGCGUAAAGAGCUCGUAGGCGGUUUGUCGCGUCUGCUGUGAAAACUGGAGGCUCAACCUCCAGCCUGCAGUGGGUACGGGCAGACUAGAGUUCGGUAGGGGAGACUGGAAUUCCUGGUGUAGCGGUGAAAUGCGCAGAUAUCAGGAGGAACACCGGUGGCGAAGGCGGGUCUCUGGGCCGAUACUGACGCUGAGGAGCGAAAGCGUGGGGAGCGAACAGG
rnacentral:rRNA from 1 species